rnacentral:pre_miRNA from 1 species
UUACUUGUGCUUUUAUUUUCUGUUUUCACUAUUUAAUUAUAAAAAUGUCAUAUUGUUUUCAAUUUGUUUUCUGUUUCAAAGAUUUGUACAGGAAACAUUGAAAACAACUUUUUUUUGUUCUCUGUUUCCUUUACAGAUCUUUGGAAACAGGCAACAGAUUGAAAAUAAGGUGUCAAUUUUGUAAUUAAAAAAAGAAAACCGGAAAUAAAUACACAAGUAA